rnacentral:rRNA from 1 species
UGGGAAUUUGGACAAUGGGCGAAGCCUGAUCCAGCAAUGCCGCGUGUGUGAAGAAGGCCUUCGGGUUGUAAAGCACUUUUGUCCGGAAAGAAAUCCUUGGCUCUAAUACAGUCGGGGGAUGACGGUACCGGAAGAAUAAGCACCGGCUAACUACGUGCCAGCAGCCGCGGUAAUACGUAGGGUGCAAGCGUUAAUCGGAAUUACUGGGCGUAAAGCGUGCGCAGGCGGUUUGCUAAGACCGAUGUGAAAUCCCCGGGCUCAACCUGGGAACUGCAUUGGUGACUGGCAGGCUAGAGUAUGGCAGAGGGGGGUAGAACUCCACGUGUAGCAGUGAAAAUGCGUAGAGAUGUGGAGGAAUACCGAUGGCGAAGGCAGCCCCCUGGCAAUACUGACGCUCAUGCACGAAAAGCGUGGGGGAGCAAAACAGGAUUAGAUACCCCUGGGUAGUCCACAGCCCCUAAAACGAUGUCAACUAGUUGUUGGGGAUUCAUUCCUUAGUAAACGUAGCUAACGCGUGAAGUUGACCGCCUGGGGAGUACGGUCGCAAGAUUAAAAACUCAAAGGAAUUGACGGGGUCAUAGCUGUUUCCU